rnacentral:rRNA from 1 species
CCUACGGGUGGCAGCAGUGGGGAAUCUUGCGCAAUGGACGAAAGUCUGACGCAGCCAUGCCGCGUGAAUGAUGAAGGUCUUAGGAUUGUAAAGUUCUUUAGCCUGUGACGAUGAUGACGGUAACAGGAGAAUAAGCCCCGGCUAACUUCGUGCCAGCAGCCGCGGUAAUACGAAGGGGGCUAGCGUUGUUCGGAAUUACUGGGCGUAAAGCGCGCGUAGGCGGUUUUACAAGCCAGAGGUGAAAUGCCUGAGCUUAACUUAGGAAUUGCCUUUGGAACUGUAAGGCUUUGAGGACGAGAGAGGUGAGUGGAAUUCCCAGUGUAGAGGUGAAAUUCGUAGAUAUUGGGAAGAACACCGGUGGCGAAGGCGGCUCACUGGCUCGUUUCUGACGCUGUAGCGCGAAAGCGUGGGGAUCAAACAGGAUUAGAUACCCCGGUAGUC